rnacentral:rRNA from 1 species
AUACGGAGGGUGCAAGCGUUAAUCGGAAUUACUGGGCGUAAAGCGCGCGUAGGCGGCUUGGUCAGUUGGGUGUGAAAGCCCCGGGCUUAACCUGGGAACUGCAUUCAAUACUGCCAGGCUAGAGUAUGAUAGAGGGGGGUAGAAUUCCUAGUGUAGCGGUGAAAUGCGUAGAUAUUAGGAGGAAUACCAGUGGCGAAGGCGGCCCCCUGGAUUACUACUGACGCUGAGGUGCGAAAGCGUGGGGAGCAAACAGGAUUAGAAACCCCAGUAGUCC